rnacentral:rRNA from 1 species
AUUGAACGCUGGCGGCAGGCUUAACACAUGCAAGUCGAACGAGUGGCGGACGGGUGAGUAAUGUCUGGGAAACUGCCCGAUGGAGGGGGAUAACUACUGGAAACGGUAGCUAAUACCGCAUACCAUCGGAUGUGCCCUGAUGGGAUUAGCGAGUAGGUGUGGUAAUGGCUCACCUAGGCGACGAUCCCUAGCUGGUCUGAGAGGAUGACGAGCCACACUGGAACGGAGACACGGUCCAGGCGCCUACGGGAGGCAGCAGUGGGGAAUAUUGCACAAUGGGCGCAAGCCUGAUGCGGCCAUGCCGCGUGUGUGAAGAAGGCCUUCGGGUUGUAAAGUACUUGCAGCGAGGAGGCGUUACUCGCAGAAGAAGCACCGGCUAACUCCGUACCAGCAGCCGCGGUAAUUC